rnacentral:rRNA from 1 species
GAUGAACGCUGGCGGCGUGCCUAAUACAUGCAAGUCGAGCGAACAGACGAGGAGCUUGCUCCUCUGACGUUAGCGGCGGACGGGUGAGUAACACGUGGAUAACCUACCUAUAAGACUGGGAUAACUUCGGGAAACCGGAGCUAAUACCGGAUAAUAUAUUGAACCGCAUGGUUCAAUAGUGAAAGACGGUUUUGCUGUCACUUAUAGAUGGAUCCGCGCCGCAUUAGCUAGUUGGUAAGGUAACGGCUUACCAAGGCAACGAUGCGUAGCCGACCUGAGAGGGUGAUCGGCCACACUGGAACUGAGACACGGUCCAGACUCCUACGGGAGGCAGCAGUAGGGAAUCUUCCGCAAUGGGCGAAAGCCUGACGGAGCAACGCCGCGUGAGUGAUGAAGGCCUUCGGAUCGUAAAACUCUGUUAUUAGGGAAGAACAAAUGUGUAAGUAACUAUGCACGUCUUGGCGGUACCUAAUCAGAAAGCCACGGCUAACUACGUG